AGUGAACGCUGGCGGUAGGCCUAACACAUGCAAGUCGAACGGCAGCACAGUAAGAGCUUGCUCUUACGGGUGGCGAGUGGCGGACGGGUGAGGAAUACAUCGGAAUCUACUUUUUCGUGGGGGAUAACGUAGGGAAACUUACGCUAAUACCGCAUACGACCUACGGGUGAAAGCAGGGGAUCUUCGGACCUUGCGCGAUUGAAUGAGCCGAUGUCGGUUUAGCUAGUUGGCGGGGUAAAGGACCACCAAGGCGACGAUCCGUAGCUGGUCUGAGAGGAUGAUGGGCACAACGGGAACUAGAAAACGGUCCAAACUCUUACGGGAGGAGGAGGUGGGGAAUAUUGGACAAAGGGCGAAAACCUGACCAAGCCAGACCGCGGAGGUGAAGAAGGCUUUCGGGUUUUAAAGCCCUUUUGUUGGGAAAGAAAAGCAGCAGGUUAAUAACCCGCUGUUCUGACGGUACCCAAAGAAUAAGCACCGGCUAACUUCGUG
rnacentral:rRNA from 1 species